rnacentral:rRNA from 1 species
ACUCCUACGGGAGGCAGCAGUGGGAAUUUCCGCAAUGGACGAAAGUCUGACGGAGCAAUGCCGCGUGAGUGAUGAAGGUUUUCGAAUCGUAAAGCUCUGUUGUAAGGGAAGAAUAGCAAGGAUAGGAAAUGAUCCUUGUCUGACGGUACCUUACCAGAAAGCCACGGCUAACUACGUGCCAGCAGCCGCGGUAAUACGUAGGUGGCAAGCGUUAUCCGGAAUUAUUGGGCGUAAAGCGCAUGUAGGCGGCUUUUUUAAGUCUGGUGUGAAAGCCUGUGGCUCAACCACAGAAUUGCAUUGGAUACUGGAAAGCUAGAAUCUUGGAGAGGUAAGUGGAA